rnacentral:lncRNA from 1 species
AAAGCCUUACCUUAACGGUCGAUCUCAGGCACACAAACUGAUUUUAAUUUAAAUUAUACUAUAGAAUAACAAAACUGGGAAGGAAAGGAAAAGAGAAGGAAAAGAAUUUAGAAAGAUAAAGGUACUCGGUAGGAUAGACGGUAGAACGAAAGAUAAAGGUACUCGGUAGGAUAGACGGUAGAACGGUAGCUUAAAACGGUAGAGAGGUCGGGAGAGCAAUUGGAAAAUUGAAGCUGUUCCUCAACAGGUCGAGCGUAGAAUAGCAGGUCGUAGUUCAGCUCGCCGAUCUCGCGGUUGUCGUGAGGUGAUUCUUCUUCUUUGAUUGGUCGCUUGACCCCCACCGCAAAUAGGCCAUCCCCCUGUGGCGAAUAUCGGUUACUGCGUGGU